rnacentral:rRNA from 1 species
GGGGGACAGGGUGACAGGUGGUGCAUGGUUGUCGUCAGCUCGUGUCGUGAGAUUGUUGGGUUAAGUCCCGCAACGAGCCGCAACCCUCGACCUUAGUUGCCAGCAUUCAGUUGGGCACUCUAAGGUGACUGCCGGCUAAAAGUCGGAGGAAGGUGGGGAUGACGUCAAAUCAUCAUGCCCCUUAUGACCUGGGCUACACACGUGCUACAAUGGGCGGUACAAAGGGUCGCGAACCCGCGAGGGGGAGGCCAAUCCCAAAAAGACCGCUCUCAGUUCGGAUUGCAGGCUGCAACUCGCCUGCAUGAAGCCGGAAUCGCUAGUAAUCGCGGAUCAGCAUGCCGCGGUGAAUACGUUCCCGGGCCGUU